UCCAUUGCUUUUUAUUUCGCGAAAGUAAAAUACAAAAUUGUACAAUUUCCGACAAAAUAUAAAUUUUUCGCGUAGAGGUAAUUUUGAACAACAAAUGAACUAAGAAUUUAAUAAAUUCCCCUCAUGCGCAAACCUGCAUGUUUACAAACGUAACCACUCAUCCAUCGCAUCUGCAGAAUUGCCACGUUAAAUUUGCAACUAUCAAGAAGUGUAAAAACAAGUCAGUUCAGUUUGCAAUUUAUUUCGAAUUAACUAAUAUAUUGUCAGCCAUGGGGAAAAAGGAUUCAAUGACAAGAGGACCAAUUGUUGAAAAUUACCGAAAGCGUAUAGGUAAGCAAGAUUAUAAGAAGUCAAAAAGUGCGAUAAAAGAAAUGAAGACGAUAGCUGAAGCUAAAAAGUCAUCAACUGCACUUUCGGACAUUGUUCUUGUUGCGGUAGCUUUUUCUGUGAUACUCGCAUUGCUGUAUGUCAUGUUCUAUGCAUCCCUGGCGAAAUGAUCAAACUGAAGCAAAUAAUAAGAUUCAUAGCUGCAUAUCAAAGAGGCAGAAGUAGUAGUGAUGAACUACGAGUCUAAUUAAAUGAGCAAAACAUAUUCUCAGUUUUUAUCUCAUCGUAACAAAUUGACACUAUUUCAUAUUAUAUUCUGUAUUUCUAAUGUAGCAUUUUACCAUAUCCUGGUGCAAUUGCCUUUAUUCUGUUAAUAUUUCAAAUAUAAAAUAUAUAUUUUCAUAAUCUUACCGGUAGCAAUUUUGUACACCAUCUAAGGCUAGCUGGCAGAAAGUUCAAAUGAUUGAAAUAGUAAAGUAACAAAACAGUUUCGGGUACAAAUAUGCGCAUAAAUUUUCACAAAUCAGGCCCAGACAAUUUCAUUCUGCGAUGAAAUUAUAAAAUAGAUGGACAAGUUUUAUGGAAAAUUCAAUUUAGGCAUCGAAUCAUGAAGUCUAGUUGUGGAUGAUGGAACAAGAGCGCAGAAAAGACCGGACCACUGAACCUGUUGGAAUGGUGGUCGUUCAUGGAAAUUCGAUACUGAUGUUGGAAGCAUUGGAACGAAUACAAUGAUUUUAAAUUGAACUAAUCAAAAAAAAAAAAAAAAACAGAUACCCCAAUCCAUGAUUGUGCAUAGACUGUUAUGAAAUGUUCAAUCUAUUUGCUGAAAGAAACAAUUUUUGUCACUUAUUUUUGCAAUGAAAUUGAACUACAGCAUCACCAUUUUACGUCAACAAGUUUUUUUUCUUAUUCCAUAUUUUUUAUGGAAAAGCACCGUUGUGAUACACAUACCAUAGACAUGCAUUCCAUCCUAUCAUAAUUGUGUUUUUUUUUCAGUUACACUUUUACAGCAUAGCGUUUGACUGGAUGUUAUCAUUUUGAAACAGCUACACAAGAAUGCAACCAGCAAGCCCUCAAGCAUUACCGGUACAUAUUUGCGAAUAAGAAGUUGAAUGCCUAUUACCUUCGGGAGUGCAGACGG